rnacentral:rRNA from 1 species
CAAUAGCGUAUAUUAAAGUUGUUGCGGUUAAAAAGCUCGUAGUUGGAUUUCUGCUGAGAACGACCGGUCCGCCCUUUGGGUGUGUAUCUGGCUCUUUCUUGGCAUCUUCUUGGUGAACGUUGCUGCACUUGACUGUGUGGAGCGCUACCCAGGACUUUUACUUUGAGGAAAUUAGAGUGUUUCAAGCAGGCAUACGCCUUGAAUACAUUAGCAUGGAAUAAUAAGAUAGGACCUCGGUUCUAUUUUGUUGGUUUCUAGAGCUGAGGUAAUGAUUAAUAGGGAUAGUUGGGGGCAUUCGUAUUUAACUGUCAGAGGUGAAAUUCUUGGAUUUGUUAAAGACGCACUACUGCGAAAGCAUUUGCCAAGGAUGUUUUCAUUG